AAUAAAUAUAGUUUUGUACUGCCCAUGUCUAGUCUAAUGACUAUUUGUUUUAUUUAAAAAAAGUUUAUGAUCAAUAUUUUUAUUGUUUUGAGAUGAUAAAACAUAAAUAGUACUUUAUAUGUGACUAUAAAUUAUAAAUUUUUCAAAUAAGACGAACGGUCAAAUGUUGGACACGGAUACCCACGGCUGUACUUAUU
rfam:Oryza glaberrima chromosome 3 Oglab03_0105_28, whole genome shotgun sequence.